rnacentral:lncRNA from 10 species
CGGCAUUCUUCCAUUGGUCCAUUGACUCCAUGGUUCCCUCAGGAUCUUUCUCCUGCAUUUUGUUGCAGACCACAAUGCACCGCUCACGGCGUCGGUUGCCCGGGCAAUGGGCCGCACGCUACGAGGCCCACACACCCAGAAGGUGGAGCCCCGGCCGGGUUACGAGGACCACCCAGCUGUCUGGAGAGAUGAAGAAAAUGAGGUUCAAAGAGAUGAAGUCUCUUGCCUAAAGUCAGUGACAGAAAGUGACAGAGCUGGGAUGUGAAUCCUGGUCUGACUCUACAGUCCCACAUGGUAGAUGGAACCUCCGAGCAACACCUAAACAAAAGGAGUUGAUGCCUCCGAACAGAGUAAUGUCGCUGGAGACACUAAGCAUCGUCGGCCCCUGGCAGGAGCUCCCUAAAUAUGUGUUGGAUGGAUGGAAGAAAGGAUGGAUAGUUCAGAGUACUUCAGCCUUGAUUCCUCCGCAACAGACACCUGAAACUUGACCCUACAUUGGUUCUUGGCCAUCGUGAUCUUCCUUGGACAGAAUCACCUUUCAGCUCCGGUCAUCAGACUUUCCCAGGGCCCUCAGAAAGCCCUUCAGAGUUGUUACUCACAGGCAGGCUGAGGGAUUCCUUACGGGGUCUGCAGCUCUCCUCACCUCAUCCACAAGUAGGACCGUGGCCUGUUCCUCACUACUGCCCCAGGAUCACUCUGUUCCCAGCCCAGUCCAGCAAUCACUUGUCUAGCUUUCUGGAACCUUGAGUACUUUCUUGAACCAUGAGUCCUGUGACCACCCUAGCAGCUCUAACCCUCCCUUAUCUGAAAGGAAGUGUGAGGUGACCUUGCAGGUCCCAGAGUUGAUUGAAGACCCCAUCCAGAAAGAAGGCACCCUGUGGGAGAGAUUGCAAGGCCUAGGUCUGAAUCCGGAAGCUUCCACCCCAUGGAGAAGGGCUGGCACCAGCCUGGGGCUGGCAGUGGAGCUGAGCUUUGGAGCCAAGGACUGUACUGCAGUGCAGGGAGAGUGAGGCCAGAAAGGCUGAGACAACUCAGGGAAAGAAAACCUCCCUUCUGGCUAAUAGUCAAGCACCGCCUGAGUAGACCAACACUCUCCUGUCCACAGGGGCAGCAGAUGAAGACACAACCAGAGAGGACUAACAGGCCCCCUCAGCUCUCAGUCAGAGGGCAGAGCAACACAGAAUAGACAUUAAAGGAACAGACUUUGAGGCCAGGCAGCCUUGGGUGUGCAUCUGUCCCUACUAAGCCAUGUGACAUUAAACAAGUGAGUCCACCUCUCUGAGCCUCAGGUUCCUCAUCUGUAAAAUGGGGAUUAUAAGAGUUCUUGUUUCUCAGGGACAAUGUGAGGAUUAAGUGAGAUGAUACACAUAGAGAAUGUGGUGCAGUACUGGGCACAUGGCAAAGAUCAGUGAUGCUAGCUACCACUUAUCAUUAGUGUUCCUGUAGACCAGGACUUCUCAACCUUGGCACUAUUCACCUUUUGGGCCAGAAAGUUUUUUUUGUUGUUGUUGUGGGGAGCUGUCCUAUGCAUUUGAGGAUGUUUAACAGCACCCCUGGCCUCUACCCACUAGAUGCCAAUCACACCACACCCCCAGUUUCAACAACCAAAAAUGUCUGCAGAUGGUGCCGAAUGUCUUCUGGAGGGUGAAAUCACUCCCCAGCAGUUGAAAAGCACCACCCUAAACAAUCUGGACUGAAUUUGAAUGUCACAGAUCCCAAGCUCACAGCUCCAUGUAAAGGCCACAAGGCAGGCAGGCCUACUUGCAGAUGAAGGAACGGAAAGAGCAACAAUUACAGAUCAAGCGGCUAGCUCCGGUGUAGACUAAGAGGCGGGAUCUGUAGUCUGCUCUAGGAGCUAACAAGGCCUCUGUGACUCAGUAGGUGACCUCAGUGUCACUCUUUAAUUAUAUGCAAAGUGGUCUUGUGUUAACUCUUAAUUAUUCUAGGGCUCCAAACAAGAAAAUAGGUAGUUGGUAUCUGAUUUCUGGCAUCAAGAUCCUGAUUCAUUGACUGGGAGAAAAUCUGACUCUCCAAAACUCUUUCAGAGUUCAUUUAGCCCUUCAUUUAUGACUCUGGGGAGAUUUCUGAGCGAGAGCUAGGUGUCAGGCCCUGUUCCAGGUGCUGGAGAUGCACAAGAGAACAAAAUAGGCAAAGUUUCCUUUUUAUGGAACUUAUAGCAGGAGAAUAAAGAUAAAAACAAGCAAAAAUAUUUAUCUCUGAUAAGGGCAAUGGAUAAAAAUAAAGUAGAAUAGGCCAGGCACGGUGGCUUACGCCUGUAAUCCUAGCACUUUGGGAGGCCAAGGCGGGCAGAUUGCCUGAGCUCAGGAGUUCGGGACCAGCCUGGGCAACACGGUGAAACCCCGUCUCUACUAAAAUACAAA